GAUGAACGCUAGCGACAGGCCUAACACAUGCAAGUCGAGGGGCAUCGGGGAGCGAAGCUUGCUUUGCUCCGCCGGCGACCGGCGCACGGGUGAGUAACGCGUAUGCAACCUGCCCGUUUCAGCGGGAUAACCCGGAGAAAUCCGGCCUAAUACCGCAUGUGGCCGAGGGAAGGCAUCUUCUUUCGGCCAAAGGAGGCGACUCCGGAGACGGAUGGGCAUGCGUGACAUUAGCUUGUUGGCGGGGUAACGGCCCACCAAGGCGACGAUGUCUAGGGGUUCUGAGAGGAAGGUCCCCCACACUGGUACUGAGACACGGACCAGACUCCUACGGGAGGCAGCAGUGAGGAAUAUUGGUCAAUGGGCGAGAGCCUGAACCAGCCAAGUCGCGUGAAGGAUGACGGCCCUACGGGUUGUAAACUUCUUUUGUCAGGGAGCAAUUGGGUCCACGCGUGGGCUUAGCGAGAGUACCUGAAGAAAAAGCAUCGGCUAACUCCGUGCCAGCAGCCGCGGUAAUACGGAGGAUGCGAGCGUUAUCCGGAUUUAUUGGGUUUAAAGGGUGCGUAGGCGGAAUAUCAAGUCAGCGGUAAAAAUUCGGGGCUCAACCCCGUCGUGCCGUUGAAACUGAUGUUCUUGAGUGGGCGAGAAGUAUGCGGAAUGCGUGGUGUAGCGGUGAAAUGCAUAGAUAUCACGCAGAACUCCGAUUGCGAAGGCAGCAUACCGGCGCCCAACUGACGCUGAAGCACGAAAGCGUGGGUAUCGAACAGGAUUAGAUACCCUGGUAGUCCACGCAGUAAACGAUGAAUGCUAAUUGUCCGGAGGGAUUGACCUCUGGGUGAUACAGCGAAAGCGUUAAGCAUUCCACCUGGGGAGUACGCCGGCAACGGUGAAACUCAAAGGAAUUGACGGGGGCCCGCACAAGCGGAGGAACAUGUGGUUUAAUUCGAUGAUACGCGAGGAACCUUACCCGGGCUCAAACGCAGGAGGAAUACAUUUGAAAGGGUGUAGCUCUACGGAGUCUUCUGCGAGGUGCUGCAUGGUUGUCGUCAGCUCGUGCCGUGAGGUGUCGGCUUAAGUGCCAUAACGAGCGCAACCCCUAUCGACAGUUGCCAACAGGUGAAGCUGGGAACUCUGUCGAGACUGCCGGCGCAAGCUGAGAGGAAGGCGGGGAUGACGUCAAAUCAGCACGGCCCUUACGUCCGGGGCGACACACGUGUUACAAUGGCGGCCACAGCGGGAAGCCAGGCGGCGACGCCGAGCGGAACCCGAAAAGCCGUCUCAGUUCGGAUUGGAGUCUGCAACCCGACUCCAUGAAGCUGGAUUCGCUAGUAAUCGCGCAUCAGCCACGGCGCGGUGAAUACGUUCCCGGGCCUUGUACACACCGCCCGUCAAGCCAUGGGAGCCGGGAGUGCCUGAAGUACGUGACCGCAAGGAGCGUCCUAGGGUAAGACCGGUGACUGGGGCUAAGUCGUAACAAGGUAGCCGUACCGGAAGGUGCGGCUGGAACACCUCCUUUCUGGAGCGACCGCACAAGCGGUGAACCCAGUAAUGGAACGACGGCCACAAGAAGACAAAACGUCAGCCUGACCGCAAGGUUUGGCCGGAAUGACACAGAGAGACGUUUCGGGUCAUAUCCCCGGUCUCUUUACUGCUUGGAUAUUGUUUUCCCAUACCGCAUCUUCAUGAUGUGGAAACGGGGGAUUAGCUCAGCUGGCUAGAGCACCUGCUUUGCAAGCAGGGGGUCAACGGUUCGAAUCCGUUAUUCUCCACACAGGAAGGAGCACAUUGACAUACUGGAAGCAGUCAUGAUAAAAGUCAUGACAGACAAAUCGAAAUACGAGUGACCAAAUUGGCAAAGUAUACUACAAUAUACGGCGGGCUCAUCAUAAGAUGAGCCAAGUCAAAAGACACCAAGGAAAGGAGACAAGGGCACAUGAAGGAUGCCUUGGCUCUCGGAGGCGAAGAAGGACGUGACAAGCUGCGAUAAGCCGCGGGGAGGGGCAAAUACCCAUUGAGCCGCGGAUUUCCGAAUGGGGCAACCCACCGGAAGCGAUUCCGGUAUCUGCGCUAUGCGCAGAGGCGAACCCGGGGAACUGAAACAUCUCAGUACCCGGAGGAAAAGAAAAUAACAAUGAUUCCGCAAGUAGUGGCGAGCGAACGCGGAGGAGCCCAAACCGGAGAUGUGGCAACGCAUCAUCCGGGGUUGUAGGACCUGACGACAAAUUUGGUAUCCAGGAUAGCCGAACCGGCUGGAAAGCCGGGCCGAAGCGGGUGACAGCCCCUUAGGCGAAAUCCGGAGGAUAUCGAAGAGUCAGGCACCUGAGUAUCGCGGGACACGAGAAAUCCUGCGAGAAUCCGCCGGGACCAUCCGGCAAGGCUAAACACUACCGAGAGACCGAUAGCGAACC
rnacentral:rRNA from 1 species